GGAAGCUACCGGAGUAUAGAACUCGCCACCGUCGCAGAAGCGGAAGCUACCGGAGUAUAGAAAUCACCACCGUCGCAGGACCGGAACUUCAUACGCAACCGGAUGAAACCCCUAAAACCGAAUCAAUUUUCCCGCCGUCAGCUUCCCAUCAUGUUCGAAUUCUUGAAAAUUCUGGUAACUCGAUGGUACUGUAAGAUUUUCUUAUCCUUGUUUAAAAUAAUCAAAGAAAUCAUUCUUUAUUUUAAGAAAUUCAUUAAAUCUUUUCUUUCUUAAAAAAUCAAGAAUUUGUUUUCACUUCUUUAAGGAGAGAGGG
rnacentral:misc_RNA from 1 species